AACGUAGGACACAAGCGUUAUCCGGAGUUACUGGGCGUAAAGGGCGUGCAGGCGGUUUCUUAAGUCAGGCGUGAAACCAUUCGGCUAAACCGGGUGUAGUCGUCUGAGACUGGGAGACUAGAGUGUGGUAGAGGCGUGUAGAAUUCCGGGUGUAGUGGUGAAAUGCGUAGAGAUCCGGAGGAAUACCAGAGGCGAAGGCGGCACCCUGGGUCUGACCUGACGCUGAUCCGCGACAGCAUGGGGAGCGAACGGG
rnacentral:rRNA from 1 species